UACGUAGGGGGCGAGCGUUGUCCGGAUUCAUUGGGCGUAAAGGGCUCGUAGGCGGCUUGGCAAGUCGGGUGUGAAAACUUCAGGCUCAACCUGGAGCGGCCACUCGAUACUGCCAUGGCUUGAGUCCGGUAGGGGACCACGGAAUUCCUGGUGUAGCGGUGAAAUGCGCAGAUAUCAGGAGGAACACCGGUGGCGAAGGCGGUGGUCUGGGCCGGAACUGACACUGAGGGACGAAAGCUAGGGGAGCGAAUGGG
rnacentral:rRNA from 1 species